AACGCACCUUGCGCUCCCUGGUAUUCCGAGGAGCACACCUGUUCGAGUGUUAUAAUAUUGUCAAGCUGGGGAUGCUUUUGUCUCGAAAGUCAUCAUUCGCUUGGUUUGUUGGGCUUUGCCUUUAUCCUGUAAUUGGAAUGGCUGGCCUUAAAAGCAUUAGCUGAUCUGUGUGUGGGAUUGGUUCUACUUGGUGUGAUAAUGAAUCAAAUCGCUGAGGACAUCCUUCGGGAUGGCCAAUUUCCCAUGUGUGGAUUGCUCUCUAAUCUGGGUUUUACUGAUUCUCUUAUGGGAUUGUGUUGUACCCUUCAAUUUUGACCUCGAAUCAGGUGGGACUACCCGCUGAACUUAA
rnacentral:misc_RNA from 1 species